CCAGACUCCUACGGGAGGCAGCAGUGAGGAAUAUUGGUCAAUGGCCGAGAGGCUGAACCAGCCAAGUCGCGUGAGGGAAGACGGCCCUACGGGUUGUAAACCUCUUUUGUCGGGGAGCAAAGAGAGUCACGUGUGGCUCAUUGAGAGUACCCGAAGAAAAAGCAUCGGCUAACUCCGUGCCAGCAGCCGCGGUAAUACGGAGGAUGCGAGCGUUAUCCGGAUUUAUUGGGUUUAAAGGGUGCGUAGGCGGAAUAGCAAGUCAGCGGUAAAAAUUCGGGGCUCAACCCCGUCGUGCCGUUGAAACUGAUGUUCUUGAGUGGGCGAGAAGUAUGCGGAAUGCGUGGUGUAGCUGUGAAAUGCAUAGAUAUCGCGCAGAACUCCGAUUGCGAAGGCAGCGUACCGGCGCCAGACUGACGCUGAGGCACGAAAGCGUGGGGAUCGAACAGGAUUAGAUACCCCAGUAU
rnacentral:rRNA from 1 species